rnacentral:tRNA from 1 species
UUAAUUGAAGCCAAAAAGAGGCUUAUUAUUGUUAAUAAUAAAAUUGGAAUAAUUCCCAAUUAAA